rnacentral:tRNA from 1 species
GUGACCAUAGCUCAAAGGUAGAGCAUCUGGUUGUGGCCCAGAAGGUUGCGGGUUCGAGCCCCGCUGGUCACC